UACAGAGGUCCCAAGCGUUGUUCGGAUUCACUGGGCGUAAAGGGUGCGUAGGCGGUCGGGUAAGUCUGACGUGAAAUCUCCAAGCUCAACUUGGAAAUGGCGUCGGAUACUAUUCGGCUCGAGGAAUGGAGGGGAGACUGGAAUUCUCGGUGUAGCAGUGAAAUGCGUAGAUAUCGGGAGGAACACCAGUGGCGAAGGCGACUACCUGGCCUGUUCUUGACGCUGAGGCGCGAAAGCUAGGGGAGCAAACGGG
rnacentral:rRNA from 1 species